UUGCCCAGCAACGACAUGUGCCCCACCUC
rnacentral:piRNA from 1 species